rnacentral:rRNA from 1 species
UACGUAGGUGGCAAGCGUUGUUCGGAAUUACUGGGCGUAAAGGGCGCGUAGGCGGUGUGUCAAGUCAGGCGUGAAAGCCCCGGGCUCAACCUGGGAACCGCGCUUGAGACUGGCACGCUCGAGUUCGGGAGAGGAUGGUGGAAUUCCCAGUGUAGAGGUGAAAUUCGUAGAUAUCCGAAGGAACAUCAGUGGCGAAAGCGGCUUCCUGGACCAGAACUGACGAUCAGGCACGAAAGCGUGGGGAGCAAACAGG